UCCCUGGUAGUAUAUCGGUUAGUACACGCGCCUGUCAUCCAAAAGUGUGAAGAAAACGCCGCGCGAAAGCUGGGUUCGACUCCCAGCCAGGGAG